GGGGAGAAAUGGGGAUGGUCCCCCGCGGGCUUCAAACCCGUUGUCCGCCUGUCAUGCAGGAGGGAGUCGCGUUCGAAUCCGACUUCUCCCCACCA
rnacentral:tRNA from 1 species